UACGAAGGGGGCGAGCGUUGUUCGGAAUUACUGGGCGUAAAGGGCGCGUAGGCGGUGUGUCAAGUCAGGCGUGAAAGCCCCGGGCUCAACCUGGGAACCGCGCUUGAGACUGGCACGCUCGAGUCCGGGAGAGGAUGGUGGAAUUCCCAGUGUAGAGGUGAAAUUCGUAGAUAUUGGGAAGAACACCGAAUGGCGAAGGCAGCCAUCUGGACCGGCACUGACGCUGAGGCGCGAAAAGCGGUGG
rnacentral:rRNA from 1 species